CAGACAUUUCCAACACUUUAAAUAUUUGAAAGAUACUAAAACAGUUUAAACAAAUAAAAAUCUCUUAAAACAUGAUAGGAAAUCACAAUUCAAUACAUAAUUCUUCCCAAAACCGGGGUGUCACUGAGUACAUGAACAUCUACGAAUUAACAAGGUCUAGUACACUGUCUGGAUGUAAAAAUGGAAUAGAUAAACUGAAAGAUAAGGGAGGAGAGUCAAGGUCUGUGAACGCCACGCAGCUACCUCGAUGAUCUCCGAAGGUCUGGCCUCUACAUAUCAACUACCGCCGAAACCGGAAGCACCUGGAUCUGCACACGAGGUGUAGGGUGUAGCGUGAGUACAACCAACUCAAUAAGUAACAAAUCUAACCUUUGGGCUAAAAGCAGUGACAAGUCCAAUUAUUACGGUCCACUUUCAACAUUAAACAGUACGAAAAGUUACAGAAAAUAUAACAAUGAUAUCUCAGAUAUUUAUAUUCUACAAGUGAAGGUCCAAGAAAUUUAGACAUGCUUUCAAAUUUCACAACAAAACUUAACACAUAACAGGGUAGAUCCAGCCCACAUGCAAAUAAAGCAGGGCAGAUCCAGCCCAAAUGCAAGUAAACAGGGCAGAUCCAGCCAAAAUGUCAUGACUGCUAGCAUUGCGCCCAUUGUGGGCGUGCAGACUCCGGAGGGGCCGAUCCAGCCCAAGCACUAUAAUAAGCCAAAUCCUAGCAUCAAUAAAUAAAGCUUGUUGCGGCGUGCAGCCCGAUCCCAUAAAUAUCCCUCAUAAUAGGCCCUCGGCCCCACUCAGUCAAUAACCUCUCCAGUCUCUCGGGCUCACCAAAAUCAUGAUAAUCCGCCCACAAUGAUGAUAUUAUAUAACAUGUAAAGACAAUAGAGACUGAAACAUAAUAUGCAAGUUAUAACUGUGACUGAGUACAAAUUGACAGAUUAAGCAAUUAAUUCUACAGCAAAGAACGACCACUGUGGGGCCCAAUAGUACCAUCAUAUAGCCUAAGCUGGGUUUCUAACAUGACUGACAGCUCAAUAGAUCUAGCACAUGGUGAAAAUACGGGUAACAAAUUGACAGAUUAAGCAAUUAGUUCUACAGCAAAGAACGACCACUGUGGGUCCUAAUAGUACCAUCAUAUAGCCUAAGCUGGAUUUCUAACAUGACUUACAGCUCAAUAGAUCUAGCACAUGGUGAAAAUACGGGUAACAACUAGAUUUAACAACUAUUCUGUUCCAUGGAAUCGACCAAGUCACAAUUCUUACAGUACACGCCUACAUGCCCGUCACAUAGCACAUGCUUCACCUCAAAACCCAUCACAUAUUACAAAAUUCGGGGUUUCACACCCUCAGAACCAAGCUUAGAAGUGGUACUUACCUCAAACCGUGCAACUCUCUACUCCAACAUGCCCUUGCCUCGCGAAUCGACCUCCAAAUGCCUCGAAUCUAGCCACAAAUAGUUUGAUACAAUUAACACAGGCUAAAGGAAUCAAUUCCAUAAUAAAAUACUAAGUUAUUAAUCAAAAGUCAAAAGUCGACUCAACAGCCGGCCCCCGGGCCCACGUCUCGGAAUCCGAUAAAAGUCACAAACCUCGAAAACCCAUUCAACCACGAGUCCAGCCAUAUCAAAUUUACCAAAUUCUGACACCAAAUCGUCACCCAAAUCCCCUAAUUCCACCCUCCAAAUCCCUAGACUCAAACUACCAAAUUUUACCUUAAAUACACACAAACUAGGUGGGAAAUCCAAUGGGGAAACAAGAUUAUUGCUUAAAAAUGAACACAAGUGACUUACCUCAAGAAACCCCUCGAAAAUCCUCUCAAAAAUCGCCCAAUUCCGAGCUUGAAAUGUUAAAAAUGAAGAAAAAUCGCGAACCCUUGAAUUUAAGGUUCUGUCCAGCCUUUUCGCUCCUGCGGAAACUUAACCGCAUCUGCGGUUCCGCUUUUGCGUAAAAUCCACCGCUUUUGCAGUCUUGCCAGGGCUCCACUGCCUCCGCUUCUGCGACCCCUCGUCCGUAUAUACAAUCACGCAGUUGCGGAAUUUCCCCCGCACCUGCGGCCACUGCCCCACUCUCUCCUUUCUGCUUCUACACUCACAUGCUCACUUCUGUGAGUUCGCACCUAUGAUCAAAAAUAUGCAAGUGUGAUUACACGAGCAGACCCCCAGCUUCAGCAAUCAUCCAAACUCCAAAUUCGAUCUGUUAACCAUCCGAAAUCAACCUGAGGCCCCCAAGACCUCAACCAAUCAUACCAACAAGUCCUAAAACACGAUACGAACUUAGUCGAGCCCUCAAAUCACCUCAAACAACAUUAAAAACACGAAUCGCUCCCCAAUUCAAGCCUAUUGAAACUAAGGAAAUUCUAACUUCCAUAAAUGAUGCCGAAACCUAUCAAAUCAUAUCCGAUUGACCCUAUAUUUUGUACACAAGUCAAAAAUAACACCACAGACCUAUUCCAACUCCCGGAACUUCAAUCCAAGCCCGGUAGCCACAAAGUCCACUCUCGGUCAAACUUCCAAAUUUCCAACUUCUGCCAUUUCAAGCCUAAUUCCACUACGGACCUCCAAAUCACAAUCCGGACACGCUCCUAAGUCCAAAAUCACACAUCGGAGCUAACAGAAUCAUCAAAAUUCCAUUCCAGAGUUGUUUACACAUAAGUCAACAUCCGGUCAAUAUUUUCAACUUAAACUUCCAACCUUGAGACUAUGUAUCUCAAUCCAUUCCAAAAUCUCUCCGGACCUGAUCCAACUACCCCGACAAGUCACAUAACAACUGUGAGGCACAAAAUGAGAAGUAAAUGGGGGUACAGGGCUACAACUCUCAAAAUUAUCGGUCGGGUCAUUACACUAAGUUUAAUACUUCUUUUAAUCCUAUGUUUUUAGGGCUUUGCUAGAUUGUUCACAUGAUUCAAAGAUAUAAAGUAAAGUAUUCAAUCAAAUAUUGUAAGUGUUAUAUAUAUGUGGAAAAUAACCCUAAACAUAAAUAAAGUAGUAGAGAAGAGAAAUGGACUAUGGUUUGGGUCUAAAGGAAAGUAUGUCAGCAGGUAACGAGGACGGACAACAGCAGCUUCAGAAUCCAAAAGGUGCGGGUAUAGCACUUGGGCCUGAGUUCUUUGAGAACUCGGUAGGCCCAGUUUUAAAUAAAUGUACAAGAAUACAAGAAAGUCAUUAAAUAUGCUACCCAAUAUACAUAAUUAUAUAUGAAUAAUACUAGUAUGAGCCCAAGAUAAAUAAUAACAAUCAACAGUAAUCCAGAAUAUGAAAAUUAGUAUGGAGUCACAAAUGGUAAAGCAGUUUACAAUGAAAGCCUUUGUUUUCAUUGAACACUAAACCUAAAGGGAUUAAUAAAUGUCAAUAACUUAGAGGCUAAGGGUAGAAUUCCAUUCAUGGCCAAGGUACUCUUUGGAUCCCUAGUACUUCAAAGUUCCCAAGGGUCUCAAGGCCCCGGGCAGUGCUUGUGUCAGGGAGAGUAGCUCAAUCAAGAACUAAACUCUACUCCCAAAUACUCCUAACUACUCACACUUACUCUUCUCUAUAGGUUUAGGUGCUAAUGAGGCACAGGGAAAAGAGCACUAGCAGAUUACCUUAGAAACCCAGACACCUGAAUCAUAUGUCUUUAGAGUAGAGUAGGUGCAUGGUUCAAACUUAUAGAAGUCCAUGUUCAUGACUACAUCCUCUUAAUAGUCUUUAAUUAAAUCAAUCAAUGAUUUAUCUUAACUAAAUCUUAACUUCUAGUAUAUAUAUAGGUUAAUUGUUUCAAUUGAAACCUCUAAAGAGUAUUAACCGAGAUGCAAGCUAACAGUCCUGUUUCAUUCUGAGCAAAUGACAUGAUUACUUAUUUAUAAAAGCUCUUAGCUUCAUACUAGUCUCAUUGGAGAAUAAAGCAUACUACUAUACUCAAAUAGAACAAGUAGCAAUAGAAGAUUCAUCUUAUGUUCAUAAGUUAAGCCUAGUUCAUUUAAGUGAGCUUAGUGAAGUUCAGGGAUAGUGAAGGCAUGUACAUGAUGAUGCAAGAUAAGCAAAAUUAUUGAAGAACAAGAUAAGUGCAAGGUAUCUAAGAGAGCAUCCACAUGGUACAUUUAGCAGGGGUCAUACCAUUACAAACAUGAUAAGGUGUUAACAUUAUGAAAUCAGACUAACAAUAUCACUACAUGAGCUUCAGAAAAGGGUAGGGUAUCAUUAUAUUAGGGAUGUAUUAUGCAUAUCAAGUAUCGGAUUUUAGGUAUGAUGAAACUUAUUUUCAGCACUUUAACACAACAGAUGAAACAUCAAAACAUAAACAUAUCUUAACCAAACUUCAUAGCUUAAGUUAAGUGUAUGGCAACUAUCAAAAUACACACAAGGCUAGUGCAGGAAUCCAAUUAGUUUAGGACAUAGUGUGAUCACAUAGUCAUGGGGUUUAACAGAGAAUCAAUGACCCUCUAAGAGUUAAUAGAAUCACAUAGACACAUUAGAAAGAGGAAAUUGGUUUAAAUGUCAUGAGCUAGUGUACCCAAACAAAGAUGAUAGUCUUGUCUUUAACACUAACCAAAUUCAUAUCCAUUUGAGUCUAGUUUAUUAGGUGAAUCACUUCAGAUGCAAAUAACACCCAAGGAAGAUUAGUGUAGCAAUCAUGAAAAUUCUAAUAGGACAUCAUGGAAGCUUAAAGAUAGCUAUUAAGAUUGUUUGAGGGUUCCCUGGUUGUCUUCAAAGUUUAACAGUAGAUAUAAGUAAUCAGAUGUUCAUUAGGAUUAACUAAUCAAUACAUAGUUGUAAUUUCAAUCCCUUUAGGAGCUUAUGAUUCUAGAAUCCAUUAAUAAGUUAUAUAUAAUUAACAAACACAUAAAAAUAGUCAGCCAUAGCACAUUAUCAAUAAUAUCAUUUAGUAAAAGAUAACAGAACAAAUCAUGCUUACAAAUUCAAACGAUCAAAAGAGGAGUAGAGUUGAGGUUUUACUGACCUCCUUUAGUGCAGCAAACCAAACAAAGACUUAGUUUAGUCGUUUAGAAGCCAAAGACUCAAACUUUAGAUCAGUAGGUAAACUCAAAGCCAUAAAGAGAGAGGAAAUCAGAAAUUAAGUAAGAACUUAGAGUUUAAUUGAAAAUAUCUAAAUGUUAUUGCAUUGUGUAUUGAUUUUCUUCAUAUCAUUAGGUGUUGUUAGGUGAGAGCCAUUAAGGCUCGUAUUUAUAGUGCCUCAAGGUCUAGGGUUCCGGCAGGUUCAAAAUGGAUAGUGAAAGAUGAUGAUAGGUUGAUGAUGCAAGCAAAUCAAGUGAAAAUCAAAGAAGCAGAGGUGAAUAACAGUGAUAGAUUUUACCUGAGUGAUGAGAGGAUGGCUGCUUAAGAUGAAGACCCAUCGAGAAAACUCUAUAACCUAAAGGUCACUGCGUUUGACCUCUGAGUAAUGAAUUCUCAUGAUGAAACUUCUGCAAAGUUCCCUGCAUGCUCCGAUUUGAAAGGCCAUAAGAGAAAUUCAAACGAAUUCAAGUUUCACGUUUUGGUCUAUGAUUUCAUAAUUGGGGCUUUUGAAAUUUCAUCGGUGAAAUGGAAAGAAAGCAACAGGCUUCACGGCCUAGGGACAAGAUGAGUGACCAUGCAUGCUAGAUUUGAAAGAACAAAAAAGAGUCGAAUCAAUGCGUUUUGAGCUUAAGGUUUUAGAACUAGUCGUUUCAAUUCCAUUGAUGAAAGAGGAAAAUAGCAACAGGAUUCGCAGAUAGGAAGCAGAUUGAGUGUUUGGGGUUCAAUUUUUGUGACUUUGCACCGAUUUGUGCAAGGUUCUAUGAUUAAUGGCGGGAGAAGGGGAUGGGAGAAAAGAGAGAGUUUCAGAAAAAAGGGGCAGCGGGGUCAAAGGCAAAUGAUUUAGGGUUAGGGGAUUAGGGUGGUCAUCUCUAGGGAUAAAGUUAGGAGAAAUU
rnacentral:lncRNA from 1 species